rnacentral:RNase_P_RNA from 1 species
CAAGUAGAUUAGACAGUCGCUGUGCGCUUUGAAAGAUAACGCAUAGAGGAAAGUCCGGGCUCCACAGAGCACAAUGCCAGAUAACGACUGGGCACCGUGAGGUGACGGAAAGUGGAACAGAAAGCUAAACCGCCGAUGGCUUGAAGCACAGGUAAGGGUGAAAUGGUGUGGUAAGAGCACACCGCAUCCCUGGUAACAGUGGAUGGCAGGCUAAACCCCAUUGGGAGCAAGAUCAAAUAGAACACGAUAAUGUAGCUCGCAUUUGUGUUUGGGUAGAUUGCUUGAGCAAAGUGGCGACACCUUGCCUAGAUGAAUGACUGUCCAUGACAGAACCCGGCUUAUCGAUCUGCUUGCUUU